rnacentral:lncRNA from 1 species
AGAAGUGGAAGUGUAACCCUUAAGAAAGAGUCUCUAAUUGAUUGUUCUUUUUUCCUAUUGAUUAUUGUCUCUUUUUGUUAUUUUUUUCCUCUAGCCAUUAUGUAUUAUUUUCUCCUCUUUUGGUGAGUAUUUUAGUUUCUCUAUAUUUAUUGAAUUGUUUUGAUCAUUUUAUGACUCUUUUUGACUGAUGACAAAAGGGGGGAGAAGCGUAAUAAUUUUGAUCAUUUUUAUUUAGUUGAUAAAAUCCCAAACAUUAAGAGUAUG